AAGUCUCAGCUAUUUUAGUCCCAGGGUCUUCAGUAGAAGUUACGAGAGCAUUAGGGAUGGGGAGGGACAGGAAAGUUCUUUAAGUGGCUGAGUGAGACCAUCGCUGAGGAGAUGAGCAGACUGAGCACCAGGGAGUGAUCAAACUCAUCGCCAGUCAUGAAUCCUUUCAUGCUCAUAAGAGAUCUACUGGCAGUUUUGUUUGCAGAAGAAGGAGAAG